rnacentral:misc_RNA from 1 species
GGGGAAUUUUCCGCAAUGGGCGAAAGCCUGACGGAGCAAUACCGCGUGAGGGAGGAAGGCUCUUGGGUUGUAAACCUCUUUUCUCAGGGAAGAACACAAUGACGGUACCUGAGGAAUCAGCAUCGGCUAACUCCGUGCCAGCAGCCGCGGUAAUACGGAGGAUGCAAGCGUUAUCCGGAAUGAUUGGGCGUAAAGCGUCCGCAGGUGGCGAUGUAAGUCUGCUGUUAAAGAGUGAGGCUCAACCUCAUAAGAGCAGUGGAAACUACAUAGCUAGAGUGCGGUAGGGGCAGAGGGAAUUCCUGGUGUAGCGGUGAAAUGCGUAGAGAUCAGGAAGAACACCGGUGGCGAAAGCGCUCUGCUAGGCCGCAACUGACACUGAGGGACGAAAGCUAGGGGAGCGAAUGGGAUUAGAUACCCCAGUAGUCCUAGCCGUAAACGAUGGAUACUAGGCGUGGCUUGUAUCGACCCGAGCCGUGCCGUAGCUAACGCGUUAAGUAUCCCGCCUGGGGAGUACGCACGCAAGUGUGAAACUCAAAGGAAUUGACGGGGGCCCGCACAAGCGGUGGAGUAUGUGGUUUAAUUCGAUGCAACGCGAAGAACCUUACCAAGACUUGACAUGUCGCGAAUUGAGGUGAAAGCUUCAAGUGCCUUCGGGAGCGCGAACACAGGUGGUGCAUGGCUGUCGUCAGCUCGUGUCGUGAGAUGUUGGGUUAAGUCCCGCAACGAGCGCAACCCUCGUUUUUAGUUGCCAGCAUUAAGUUGGGCACUCUAGAGAGACUGCCGGUGACAAACCGGAGGAAGGUGGGGAUGACGUCAAGUCAGCAUGCCCCUUACGUCUUGGGCUACACACGUACUACAAUGCUACGGACAGAGGGCAGCAAGCUAGCGAUAGCAAGCAAAUCCCGUAAACCGUAGCUCAGUUCAGAUCGCAGGCUGCAACUCGCCUGCGUGAAGUCGGAAUCGCUAGUAAUUGCAGGUCAGCAUACUGCAGUGAAUUCGUUCCCGGGCCUUGUACACACCGCCCGUCACACCAUGGAAGCUGGCAACGCCCGAAGUCAUUACUCCAACUGUUCGCAGGGGAGGAUGCCUAAGGCAGUGCUGGUGACUGGGGUGAAGUCGUAACAAGGUAGCCGUACCGGAAGGUGUGGCUGGAUCACCUCCUUUUUAGGGAGACCUACCCAAGUUUGAGAUCGAAAGCGCAUAGUGAAUAGAUACAAACAUUGGUCUACUCUAGGUCGGUCGCAGAACUUGAGGUGUGCUUUCAAACUAUAUUGGUUCGAUUUGGGCUAUUAGCUCAGGUGGUUAGAGCGCACCCCUGAUAAGGGUGAGGUCCCUGGUUCGAGUCCAGGAUGGCCCACCUGAAGGUAAUUAGUAAUUACUAAUUCGUAGUUCGUAAAUAAUUACGAAUUACGCAUUACGAGUUACAAAUUAUCAUCUGGGGGUUUAGCUCAGUUGGUAGAGCGCCUGCUUUGCAAGCAGGAUGUCAGCGGUUCGAGUCCGCUAACCUCCACCUGUAGCGUCAGCUAAGAGAAAAUGGGGAUAAGAUUCAGCAACAUGACAAGCGAUAGUAGAUGUCAGACUGCUGGGUGAAUCUCAGCCAGAACCUUGAAAACUGCAUAGUAACGCGUAAAUUAGCAGGCAGACACAGACAUUCAAGUAAUGAUUGUGUAUGCAUAGUGAACAGCAAUUGUUUAUUGUGGUCAAGCUAAUAAGGGCUGACGGUGGAUACCUAGGCACACAGAGA